AAAUUGAAGAGUUUGAUCAUGGCUCAGAUUGAACGCUGGCGGCAGGCCUAACACAUGCAAGUCGAACGGUAACAGGAAGCAGCUUGCUGCUUCGCUGACAAGUGGCGGACGGGUGAGUAAUGUCUGGGAAACUGCCUGAUGGAGGGGGAUAACUACUGGAAACGGUGGCU
rnacentral:rRNA from 3 species